UUCCAACUACAGAUUCACGUUUCUCUCCAUUUUUAAACAGCAAAACCACUGGCACAGCCUUAAUUUCAUAGUUCUCAGCAAUAUGCAAGUCAUGGUCUGUGUUCAGCACAAAGCAUUUAAGUCUCCCUGCAUAAUCUUCUGCAAUCUCAUCUAUCACCCGGUGAACCAUCCUGCAGGGCCCACACCAACUAGCAUAAAAUUCAACCAGGACAGGGAUUUCGCUGUUCAGAAUUGAUUUUUCCCAUGAGUCUCCAGUGACCACUGCAGCUGCACAUUCCAAACAUAAUGUGGUUAAGAGGACCAUCCAAUGUUUAUCUAAUUAUUAGAUUAGAAUCUUAUUAUUCUAAUAUACAUAUACAUUAGAAUUCCAUAAUAUAAUUUUUUCAUUUUUAAAAUAUAUUAAUACUUAGUGAUCAUUAAAUAAUCAUUAAUGAAUUCCCAUUUUAGUUAUAGAGGGUCUGCUCUAAGGACUAAGGAAAGGAUAAGAAAAAUGAAAUAGAAAGAUGCAAUCCAGAUAAAUGCAAUUCAGAUCAUAAUGAGACAUUCCUCUGCUUUCAUUCGGAAAGGUGGAAGCUAAGACAAAAAAAAGAAUCGACCGUUCGAGUAUUCUCAAAUUGUACAUGCCUACCUUACAGAUAUCUCUGCAUAUGAGUUUGAUUUAAUCACAUGACUAAUUGACAUGGAGAAAAAUCAUUCAAAGUCAAAAGUUUUCCCUCUGAGCAGAUUGCAAAUUUCUGAAAAUGGUCUAAACAACCAUAAACUACCCCUAAACCACGCAAGGAAUGAGGGUUGAAUGAGAAUAGGAAAAAAAAACCUGAUAAGCUCAGACAGAGAGCACAGCGCUCACCCAAUCCUUCAUUCUGCCACAUUUUUGAAGAGUGCUGAAACUAAAGAGUGCAGUUAUUUCAUUUCUGUGGUAUCCAUUUUUUUCUUUCAUUUUUUCACUUUGUUCUAGUUUCUUCCAUUUUGCUACUGUAAACUAUUACCAAUAUACUGAAGGCAAAACACCCAGGUAGCAAAGAAGAAUACAAAUCGAAAACGUUAAAAACCAAAAAUGACACCAUAAAACAGAAUCAAUGUUCCAACCCCAAGAAACUCAAAUUCAAUAUUUUAUUAAAUAGAAAAGAAUACAGUUAAUCAAACAGAACAACAGACAAAGUGGAAGGAUAAGAAAUGAGCAACACAUUUUAGAAAACAAAAAAUGCAUCAAAAGUAACGAUAAGGAGCAUCUAAACCAAAUAGGUUAAAUAAAAAUAUAGUCCAGACAAUGGGAGGAAAACCAAAGGGAGAUCUAAAAAUAUUGUACAUUGGUUAUGGAGAAAGAAAAUUAUGUGAAAAACAAGAACACUAGAAGAAGAAAAAAUAUAUUGAUUUCAAAAUCUACAUAGAACAAACAAAAGAAAAAGGCCAUAAACAUUUAUUUCCAUCCACACACAAAAGUCAAAGACAAGAUGCAAUUAGUUCAACAAAUGAACUACAAGAAGAACAUAAUUAACAAACUAAAACUGAUUAACCAAUUAGAUAUGCACUUGCCUGAGAAAAUCUAAACAGAGAGAGAAGUGAAUAAACAAUAAAAAGGAGCAAAAAUUAAGGGUCAGAAAAUAAUAUGCAGAGCAUUAGCAUUUAAACAUCACCACCACCCAACCCCACCACAUCCAUGCUGCCUCCUCACCUCUUCUUCCCCAAUUUUUUGGAAGUUAUUUCGACAUAAGCAUAACCCAUAGGAGUCCAAUGUCACAUCCUAGGAGGCACAUAUGUUUCCGUUGUAACAUUUCAUCCAACCAGAUUGUAUCAAGAGUUCAAAAUCAUUAUUCCCUCUGCGAAUUUUCAGAGAAGCAAUCCCAACUUGACCAACCCAGGAAAGGAAAUACACUUAAAACUGGUCAGCAUUUUAUUUAAAAAAUUAUAUAUAAUAAAAAAUAAUACAGAAGUUGCUUCAAUAUUUUUGUCCAAACUUGAAGAGAACCGCUUCAUUUUCUGAUAUUGGUUCUAUUUGUAACUAAUGAAUUGCCAUCACUGGGUCAUCGUCAUGAAGCAAACUUUAAACUUCAACAUCUAUCUCCAUGCCAGAAAAAAGAAGCACAAAAAAAAAAAACCUCCUUCACAAUUUGGAAUCCCACCCCAAUCCAAUAAAUAAAUAUAGAUAAAUAAAAGUUGCAAAAAAUAUAAUUCUGGCCAUUAAAAAAGUAUGGGUAUUGGAAUAAGAGAUAAAUAUAAGGAUGCUCUUGCAUGACACCCAAUGACUUUGGUAGUGCCUUUUAUCGCAAACCUUUACAAAUGAUUGGCUCUUUAAUCAAGAACUAGAUCUGGUUUUUAUGGAGAUGCCAUAAAAAAAAGGAAAAAUCAACAAAAAAAGUUGAAGCUUUUUCUCAAGAUUCCAUCUUCACCGAAAUGCUAACAUGAACACACCGCACUUUGAGGUUUUCAAAACAUUAUCCCUCAGGUCAAUUUAUAGUGAGAUAAAUGGUUUAUCAACCCCAUCUAACACAAUGAUAAGCUUUUUGUAAAUCAAUAAAGCAGAUGAAAGAAAAUAUCAGGGAGUAGGGUAGAAGCUUCCCCUAACAAGAUUCUGACAAAAUUGCUGAGGCAGCUAAAAGAUGCCAACACAUCCAACCAAAUGUCCCAUCUAAGAUUGAAACAGAUAAAGAAAUUGGCUAGUUCUAUUCCCCCAUUAACGAAUCUAAGACUUUUCAUAAGACCCCAAACCGCCACUAUCCUAAAUCCUUAAGUUUGAUUGCAGAGAAAACUGAGGAGAGAAAAGAAA
rnacentral:lncRNA from 1 species